ACUAUCCUAUGGGGGGCAGCAGUAGGGAAUCUUCCACAAUGGGCGAAAGCCUGAUGGAGCAACGCCGCGUGGGUGAAGAAGGUCUUCGGAUCGUAAAACCCUGUUGUUAGAGAAGAAAGUGCGUGAGAGUAACUGUUCACAUUUCGACGGUAUCUAACCAGAAAGCCACGGCUAACUACGUGCCAGCAGCCGCGGUAAUACGUAGGUGGCAAGCGUUAUCCGGAUUUAUUGGGCGUAAAGGGAACGCAGGCGGUCUUUUAAGUCUGAUGUGAAAGCCUUCGGCUUAACCGACGUAGUGCAUUGGA
rnacentral:rRNA from 1 species